UACGGAGGAUGCAAGCGUUAUCCGGAAUGAUUGGGCGUAAAGCGUCCGCAGGUGGCUGUGUAAGUCUGCUGUCAAAGAGCAAAGCUCAACUUUGUAAAGGCAGUGGAAACUACACGGCUAGAGUGCGUUCGGGGCAGAGGGAAUUCCUGGUGUAGCGGUGAAAUGCGUAGAGAUCAGGAAGAACACCGGUGGCGAAGGCGUUCUGCUAGACCUGUACUGACACUGAGGGACGAAAGCUAGGGGAGCGAAUGGG
rnacentral:rRNA from 1 species